rnacentral:rRNA from 1 species
CCUUGACAUACUAAGAACUUUCCAGAGAUGGAUUGGUGCCUUCGGGAACUUAGAUACAGGUGCUGCAUGGCUGUCGUCAGCUCGUGUCGUGAGAUGUUGGGUUAAGUCCCGCAACGAGCGCAACCUUUUCCUAUUUGCCAGCGGGUCAUGCCGGGAACUUUAAGGAUACUGCCAGUGACAAACUGGAGGAAGGCGGGGACGACGUCAAGUCAUCAUGGCCCUUACGGCCAGGGCUACACACGUGCUACAAUGGUCGGUACAAAGGGUUGCUACCUCGCGAGAGGCUGCUAAUCUCAAAAAGCCGAUCGUAGUCCGGAUCGCAGUCUGCAACUCGACUGCGUGAAGUCGGAAUCGCUAGUAAUCGCGGAUCAGAAUGCCGCGGUGAAUACGUUCCCGGGCCUUGUACACACCGCCCGUCACACCAUGGGAGUUUGUUGCACCAGAAGUAGGUAGUCUAACCGCAAGGAGGACGCUUACCACGGUGUGGCCGAUGACUGGGGUGAAGUCGUAACAAGGUAGGCGUAGAUGA